rnacentral:ncRNA from 4 species
AUCAACUUUCGAUGGUAGGAUAGAGGCCUACCAUGGUGGUAACGGGUAACGGGGUGUUAGGGCACGACACCGGAGAGGGAGCCUGAGAAACGGCUACCACAUCCAAGGAUGGCAGCAGGCGCGCAAAUUACCCAAUCCCGACACGGGGAGGUAGUGACAAUAAAUAACAAUACGGGGUUCUUUAGGAUCUCGUAAUUGGAAUGAGUACAAUUUAAAUCUCUUAACGAGGAACAAUUGGAGGGCAAGUCUGGUGCCAGCAGCCGCGGUAAUUCCAGCUCCAAUAGCGUAUAUUAAAGUUGUUGCAGUUAAAAAGCUCGUAGUUGAAUUUCGGGGUUAGUAGGUUGGUCAUGCCUCUGGUAUGUACUGGUCUCACUGAUUCCUCCUUCCUGAUGAGCCGUAAUGCCAUUAAUUUGGUGUUGCGGGGAAUUUGGACUGUUACUUUGAAAAAAUUAGAGUGUUUAAAGCAAGCUAACGCUUGAAUACAUUAGCAUGGAAUAAUGAAAUAGGACGUUCGAUCCUAUUUUGUUGGUUUCUAGGAUUGACGUAAUGAUUAAUAGGGAUAGUUGGGGGCAUUAGUAUUCAAUUGUCAGAGGUGAAAUUCUUGGAUUUAUUGAAGACUAACUACUGCGAAAGCAUUUGCCAAGGAUGUUUUCAUUAAUCAAGAACGAAAGUUAGGGGAUCGAAGACGAUCAGAUACCGUCGUAGUCUUAACCAUAAACUAUGCCGACUAGGGAUCGGAUGAUGUUAAUUUUUUAAUGACUCAUUCGGCGCCUUACGGGAAACCAAAGUGUUUGGGUUC